rnacentral:rRNA from 1 species
AACGAACGCUGGCGGCAGGCCUAACACAUGCAAGUCGAGCGAAGCCUUCGGGCUUAGCGGCGGACGGGGGAGUAACGCGUGGGAACGUGCCCUUUGUGACGGAAUAGCGCGGGGAAACUGGGAGAGAGAGCGUACGUGGUCGAAGGACAAAGGAUUCAGCGACAAAGGACCGGCCCGCGUUGGAUUUGGUAGUUGGUGGGGUAAUGGCCUACCAAGCCGACGAUCCAUAGCUGGUUUGAGAGGAUGAUCAGCCACACUGGGACUGAGACACGGCCCAGACUCCUACGGGAGGCAGCAGUGGGGAAUCUUAGACAAUGGGGGAAACCCUGAUCUAGCCAUGCCGCGUGAUCGAUGAAGGCCUUAGGGUUGUAAAGAUCUUUCAGUGGGGAAGAUAAUGACUGUACCCACAGAAGAAGCCCCGGCUAACUCCGUGCCAGCCGCCGCGGUAACAC